rnacentral:lncRNA from 1 species
CGCUGCGCCAAUAGGAUUUUAUUUUUAUUCUUUAAUUUGGCUUGAUCAUAAAUGCUCACGGAGGAGAUGCCAGCUCACGGAGGAAAAUCUGGAAGGUGUUGAAGCAUAGACGCUGGAACAUAAAAUGACUCAUGAUCUCACUGGGAGAAGGGCUGGGAACAUCGUGGGCUCUCUUCUCCCCGCGCUCCUCUCUCCGGGUCUCUGUUUCCCUCAUUCCACGAUGUUUAGUCAGGAAGAUUCCUGCAGCUGCUGAGUUAGUACUUUUAAGAAAGUACUGGAUUCCCUCUCACAAUGGGACUUUGAUUUUUUUAAGAAAAAGGUUUCAUAAGUUUUCAAAUAACCUGGAGCAGUUGAGCAAACUUAAUGUGCAGCGUGGUCC